AUGUUUCCUCGGAAUGGGAUUGUUUGUGGAUCAUUUUUCCCUUUUCCUGGAACCUUGCAGGUGCACGAGGGACUUCGAGGAGAACUUCGCAGAAGAGAGCUCGGUUCAGUGUCGCUGUCCGUGAUAUGCGGCUCGCUCUCUCUCUCCGCACCGAACACAGCAAACUAUGUAGCUCUUUGGGGUACUUUCUUCAAUGCGAGAAAAGAGCACAAACAUCUCAACAAACAACAGGAAGAGGAAACCAGCACUUCAUACCGCAGCCUCAAGAUACAUCUGACAUCUAAUUUUCAUAGAGGUACACAAACAAAGCCCACUAAGCAAAAUCCCCAAAAUGAACACUUCCUAGUGUAUAAUCCAAACUACAGAGUGUUAAAGUGUUACAAGUAA
rnacentral:lncRNA from 1 species